rnacentral:lncRNA from 1 species
GGCCUGGGGCACGACUCUGCCGCCAGCCCUUCCUCACAUGUCGGGUCUCCCGGGCUGGGGGGCGCCCGGCGGAUGCAGGAGGUGAGGAACUCGGGUUCGGGGAGAGCGACGGGAGGCGCGAGGAAGAGCAGCGCCGCUGCACAGCCGCGGAGGGAGGCUGGUCCCCUCAACAAUCGCCAAGAAUCCUCCGACCUUGCGAAGAAUGUCCUGCCAAAGCAUCACCCGUUUCUGCAAGUGUCUCAUGUUCUCUCAGAAUGGCAUUAGAGGGAACAGAAGUGCAUCUUGACCCACGUCUGUGGAAAGUGAGAAGUCAGAGCACCAGGACUGUACGGGAGCUAGGGAGAAGGCCAAUGAGUCCACGCCUGGCCGAGUCCUUUAUGUUCACUUCUUAUUCAAAUCCUACAGUUUGGUUCGCUCUGGAUUUGGUAAACAUCAUUUGAAGUCAUUUGCUCUGCAGAAGUUUGAGAAAUGUGACAACUGGGUUUUGUGGUUCAUCCUUUCACAGAAGCCACAGAUGCUGUUUUUCAAAAUAAAAAUGAAAUGGAAGAU